rnacentral:RNase_P_RNA from 1 species
CCAAUUCGGCAGUUGCUGGUCGAAAGGCUAGAGGAAAGUCCAUGCUCGCACGAUCUGCGAUGAUCGUAGUGUUUGUGCUGGAUGAAUCAAUAAGUCCAGGCACGCGCAAGCGUGACGGCCGGCUUGAAUCCUAACCCGUAUGGUAUGGAUGAGAGCCUUUAAAAGUGCCACAGAGACGAGUCUUUAUGGAAACAUAAAGAGUGGAACGGGUAAACCCCGCAAGCGAGAAACCCAAAUUUGGUAGGGGAACCGGCCAAAGCGAAUCGGAAGCCGAGGCUGGAUGCAUUUUGCAUAGAUAAAUAGCUGCCGCCGGGAAACCGGAACAGAACAUGGCUUAUGAAU